CCAGCAGUGCCAGCAUUGCGCGAUGACGAAUGUCAUCUGCAUGGCAUCUAGGCGUUGACGCCAGCCAAAUCGAUUUGUUGCUGUCUUUUCCGGUCGUGCCGUAGCAAAAUUCGGUUCUGCCGAUCGUGAGCAGUGGAAUAUGACUUCGUUCUUUCUUUUCGUCUCUUUUGCUCCUGCGUCGGCAGAGCUCUCUUGAUUUGCUCGCGUGGCAUUUGUUCGCUUUGCAUUUGAUACGAUUGUGCGCAAAAGGCCAAAUUAAUAAUCAACAAAAUACGGAACACAAUGGGGACAGGCACAUCCUGGGAGGACACGGAAAUCAGUCAAAGAAAAACAUAAUAAACUAACCCAUAUUAUUUCAGUGACGGUGCAGUUUCAGAUACCAGAUGAGCCCGUGGAAAAGGCCAUACGCAAGACCAUGUAUAACGUUAGGAAAACUAAAAAGUACAGGUCUCAAGGAUAUGUACUAACAUAGAUACUCUAUACACACAUACAAUUCUCGCAUAUUAUACACACAUAGAACUUACAUAUGUAUAUCCCAACCAAUACCAUUUCCCAGUACGAUCAGUAGAUUGGUAAGCAUUCCGCUGGUAAGUGUUUGGCCUUUCAUCCCCUUUCACACUGCAUUGGCUUCCUGCUUAUGUAUAUCUUAUCGGGACUGUUGUGUGGCAUACGACAUGAUACGACAUGGUUCUAUGGGGCGAUCGGACCGAUCGUAAUUAGUCGAUCUUGAUGCAGGGGGCGUCUCGCCUCCAUGGUGGGUGUAGCUGGCUUUCGUAAUUGGAAAUUACCCGCAUUUCAUAUGCCAAUCGGCUUCGGGCGAAAUAGUGUUGACAGUGCACUGAGCACUGAGUUGGUAUCGUAACCAGUUAAGCCGGGAACGGGAACGGGAACGAGAUCGGGAUCGGGAUCGGGAACGGGUUACAUUCUUCAGGUAGUAUCAGUGACAAUUAUAGAGCAAAUUAUGCUAACUAAAUAGGCGACGUGCAAAGCCAAGACUCAUAGCACACAGCAGGAGGGCUCUCAGCUCUGGGCGUGGUCCACCGGCGUUACUCCAAUCCAAUCCCAGCCAAUCCCAGCCAAUCCGAUCCAACUCAGGUCACCAUUGCAUAAGUAUGGUUGAGCAAUUUUCCUUUUUUUCUCUGCCCGUGCCUGUGCUUGCGACUGACAAUUAUAAUUAUAGAUAAUCAGUGAGCCACGAAAGGAAAUUCAA